GUGGAGCGUGUGCCCGGCCCUGCCCGGCCCUGCCCGGGAGAGAAGGUCCCCAGCCCCUGCGCGCAAAACUGGGGAAGGCUGCCUCACCUGAAUCCGAAGCUCCCGAAGACAACCCGUUCCGGUGUAGAGGAUGCGCCGCUUAUCGAUGGGGCAUAUACAGCAGCGAUGCCGCCUUCCUUUGCAACCCGAGUACAGGGGCACAAGGAGGCUCGAACUGUUCGGUGCCCAAACCUCUGGCCUCUGUAAAUGGCUUUCUUCAUCCCCAGCUCCAAACUCAGAGUAACCGUAGAGAUUGGCAACAAUGUCCCAGCCCCUGACGAACCCUGUGCAAAGAAAGACAUGAAGCUCAACUGCCACCUCUGCCAAGAAAGCAAGCCUCUCACUGAAGCUCCCAAGAUUGGGAAGUGUUCUUAGGAGAACCAGCCCCUGCCAGGAGACAAAAAUGGUUUAUUUUGAUGACAAUAUCCUCACACGUGUGUCCUUGCAUAUCCGGGACCCCAACUGUGUGUCAGUUUCUUGCUCAGGGAAGCUGUCAUUGGGAUUCUGUGGGGGGAAAUGUUCCAAACGAAUCAAUUAAUGCUGCCAGCAACAAGUUCAAUACCACUGCACUGAAUCCCCCUGCUUUAUAUCAGUGCAUGAAUGAAUUAUUGGUGCUCAUGUAAUUUGCAAAUAAUCAUCAUUAUAAUGCAGUGGAAAAUUUCUCCUGCCCAGGUAGCCUAGGUAGCAUCUAAGCAGAGAGCUGCAAAACCUCUCCCCAUUAUGCCCCCUAAAAUAAUUACUUACACACAUAUGUGAGGUUUUACUUCCAGGUCUUUUAAUAUAGGACUAUCUAUGUGGACACAAGGUCACCUCUUACUCUCAUUAAACCAAUCUGAACAAAGUGUGAUAAUUCUUAAGGGGAAUCAACGCUGAAAAUGCUUUUGACUUUUUGGAGGCAUGGGCAGAAUAUCAUCAGGUUAGACUCAGCAUGCAACAGUUCUGAAAACCCCAGAUAGGGCAUCUAUCUGCUCAUGUUAUUCCCUUCCCCCACAUCUGGGGCAAUGGGGGAGGGGCGGAGUAGGAGUAGCUUUAAUAUAGGAGAAGGAAAAAGGAAGAGCAUUGCAGGAAAAGAAAUUUGUCUCUUCUGACCACAUCUAACUUGAUUCCAUUUUCUCCUUCAAUCUGGCCUCCAGUGGGGAUUUAAACAAACUCAAAAACACCAUGCUCUUUGUCUAAAUAACUUGAAUAAGGUCAUCCAAUGGCAAGGGUACCUCAAUGAGAAAAAAAUGUACCUUAGUUUUGUAAUUUUUGUUUAAUGUAUUAGGUGCCUGGAUAGACCUUCAGGUACAAAGCACCACUUCUAUCCUAGCCGCACUUUUAAAACUACCUUCAAAUUCACUCUAAUCAAAUGGAUAAAGCAUUAUUUUUUAAAGAAUUAUGUCAUGAAGAGCUUUGUGUUCAGUGUUGUAACAGAGUAUAAUAAAACAGAGCUCAGAUAAGGACUUUUAGAUCAGGCUUCCAAAGCUUCCUUCUAUGCAAUUGUUUUAGGUGACUGAUUGAUGCUUGAGCUUCAAACUAAGGACAUCAGAAUAAUAAUGGCCACAUAGUGUGAUAAUGAUAAUUAGCACACAAAAGCACAGUUAAUUGCCAUGAAGGUUGUGAUAUAGACUGACAAACAGAGUCAAAGUAAACUAGAAGCCUGACACCCCAGCCAAGACUCCUUUAUAAACAUGGCUGUGAGACUCCCACUGAAUUUAAGCAUAAUGAAGUGGAAUUAGGAAUCAAUCAGCUGUGCUCCCCUCCAUCCUUUUUCCACAUUUUAUUAGAUUCUUUACAUAAAAUAAAAAAAUCAAAGUUCAAGAAGUCCCUACUUUGCAAAAGUAUUUAGUUGAUUUUUGUUUGCAGUAGUUGUGUUCUCUAAAUUCUCUGUGAACUCCAAAUUAGUGACUACUAAAACCACUGCUCCUAGGAGAAAUAAGUUCCUGUGAGCCUCUGAUGCCAAGAUUUUCAUAAACCAAUCAAUACCAAACCUCAUUUUAUAUCUGCUUCUGCUUAAAGACACCUUAUUUAAUAUAUAUUGUUGAUUCAUUAACAUUGAACUCACCAGCAGCAAACUCAUGCCUGAACAGAGCUUAUCCAGAGUAUGUAUUUUCGCACUAAGGCACAGCAUGUGGCCUUCUUGCCCUUGGGAAUAUAAGACAUAUUUUGGGCCACUUUAAAUAGCAUGAUAACGGGGCGCCUGGGUGGCUCAGUUGGUUGAGCGACUGCCUUCGGCUCAGGUCAUGAUCCUGGAGUCCCUGGAUCAAGUCCCGCAUCGGGCUCCCUGUUCGGCGGGGAGCCCGCUUCUCCCUCUGACCCUCCCCCCUCGCAUGUGCUCUCUCUCUCUCUCAUUCUGUCUUAAAUAAAUAAAUAAAAUCUUUUAAAAAUAAUAAAAUAAAAUAAAUAGCAUGAUAACCAAUAAAAAGCACAAAAAUUCAAAAAAUGUGGCAGCAAACAGACUUCAAAAGAGAGAAUGCUUUACAAUAGGGAGCAGGAAGGCAGAGCGUCAUCUUCUGGUAUAAAACACCACUUGUAUCUUAUCUCUGUAGAUUUGUAGACUUCAGCGGGGAAAGUAGGCACCUCAAAUUUUUCACGGCUCUAUGUCCACAUAUGACUGCAAAAGUGCCACAAGUAUUGACUUUGAGUUUACAAAUAAAUCUUACCAAGUAGACAAAUUUGCAAAUAAAUUUCAUAUAUGCAGAUAUGGAAUCUGUGAAUAAUAAAGACGACUAUACCAAAUAUCCCCUUUAAACGGCUAGCCACAUUAGUCCACAUGGUACGUGAUUCAGUUUACAGAGACUCAAUUUACACUCAAUCAUUUUAGGAUCAUGUUAUUCUGAGGAAAAAGGUAUAUUUUGUACUAUCAAAGACUGUCUUCUGCCAGCUUCCUCAAGUACGUUUUAUAUUAAAAUCACAUAGGAUUUAUCUGUUUAUUAUGACCACAGCCACUUUGUUUUGACUUCCAAAGUGGAUUUUGGUGUUUUUGUUGUUCUUCAACAUUAUAAUUCAUGCAGUUGUUCACAAAGUAAAAUAAUUUCAAAAACUAAGAUAAAGUUAAGGAUAAACAAAGAUGAAGCUUAAUGAACUGAAAAAAUGUGUCUUUUUAGGAACUGAGAAAACUGGAGUUCUGGUGUUGGCCCCAGAACAAUGUAAUCUUAGAUGAACAUAAGACUGGCAAUUAUCUUUACAGAAAAGGCUAGGUGCAAAGGAAACAAAUCCAUGGGCUGAAAUGAAUCAGAUUCUACUUACCAAUUUUUUUGUUCUAUUAAAAAUAUUUAGCAAGUAAAUGGUUUGUAUAUGAAUCCUUUACAAAUAUUGUUAACAAUUCCAAAAAUAAAAAUAAAAACAAAAGCCAACAAUAAAUGUUGUUAACAAUUCAGGUUUAAGUUCUCAACCCAUGUUAGGAAUUUUUAUAAGAUACCCCCCACCAAUCCAUGCUUUCUGGUAUUCAUGUCCUUAUUUAAUUCCUUUCCUUUUAACUGUUGGCUAGACUUAUUGAUUCACUAUUAUUGAUUCACUAAAAUGAUGGAUGUCACUUUCAACAUUAGGUUACACAAAGACUGUGGCUUCUAUCUUGAGUACUCUCUCUCUCAGAUUGCCAGCUUCCACAUUGUUAAGAGCAUCAGUCAGCCUAAAGUGGUAAGACCCACAUUGUGAAUAACCAAGAUCUGCCAGAAUUCAUGGGAAUGAGUUCAGAGGUGGACCUGCUGAGUCUUACCAAUGGCUGUGUAAGUGAGCUUGGAAGCAGAUUCUCUAGCCCCACUGAAAUGUUAAAAUAAUUGAAUCACUAGCCAACACAUCGAUUUUGAUUUCAUGAGAAACACUCCCACUAAGAGGUACCUGGAUUGCAGGCCAAAAAAAAAAAUUGAACAAUUAGUGUUUAUAAGUUUAAGACCCUGUGUCUUGCUGCAAUUUGUUACAUAGAUAGCUAAUUCACCCCACCCCCCAAGAUAUUCUGAUUUAAUAAGUUUGGGGUACAGCUUGGAUACAUGAGUUUUACAAACCAGUGAUUCUAAUGCAUGUGGUUCCUUGACAACUCUUUUAUAAACCCUGGUAUUUGGAGAUGAAAGAGUUACAAAGAAAUUAGAGUUCAUUACAUCAUACAUCUUUCAUUUUGUCCUAAACAAUUGAUACUAUAUCCACAUAAGCAUGAUUAUAUAUUUUCUA